CCAUCCAUCCUGGCAGUGUUCCUUUCUGUUGAACUUGGCCUGGUUUGCCUCAUCUUGGUUUAUAUGUGGAAAUGAAAGGGGUGUGGCAGCUUCAUCUCCAGAUUCCCCAACUAGAGCCGUUCUAAGCAGGGGGAAAGACUGCACCUUUGUCAUUAUAUAUCUUUGUUUUCUUUUUUCCUCCUGGAAAGCGUGCUUUUAUCCCUGCCUCCAGGGGAAAUCUGUUGCUUAUCUCAAUUUCUCUCUUUCCUAAUGGAAUUUCAGCCCUUGCCCUACAGGUGGAUUGUCACUAUACCUCUCUUCAUUUGCUUUGCCUGCAGUAGUAGGAUCCCUUCCCCCAGGGUAGCCUCCUUCUUGCUUUAUAUUCUGGGAAUAUCUGGGAGUUUCUCCUCACAACUCUACCUCCCUACUGAGUCAUUUAUUUCUUAUCAUAGAUGCAAUUUGUUUUGUGUGUAGAUUGAUAUGGGAAGAAUGUUUUUAUUCAAACUGUAAAUCUACGGGAGAUCAGUGAGACAUAUGAAAGGACAAAAUUAAAUUCCCUGCUAGAGAAACCUUUAUCUGAACUCCUUUUAGCACGUUUUCUCUGCAGGGAGAAAAUCUAAUCAACACCUCUGGGUGCACCCAGUCAUGUGGGUGUAUCUUCUCUGUUCUACUCAGCUUUGACCAGAGUUUUUCAAACCAGUUUCAGCUUCAGUGGUCUUGGUCUCUUGGUGCUGUCAAAUCUUCACUUUCCAGCUCCUGGAAAGCCUAAUAAUGGACACUUUUUCUGAUUCUACUUUAUAAAGCAAUGGCUUUAUAAGCCAUGGCUGCAGUUAUCACAAAGACUUUCCUGUAUCAGCAAUAGCUGCCCACAAGUCAAUCUCUCUGUUAAAAUUUGGUCUGCAGACCAGGAGUUGUUAAUAAUGCCCAAAGAGGCUUCUGUCUAAAGGGAGAAUUGCCUCCAUCUGGUUUCUGGAUUUGAAACCCUUGUGUAGAUGGUGAAAUAGUUUUGCAAGCAUCGACCUUUUGCUGGGAAUCCCUGGGCAUGGGAUUCUUGUCUACCUUUCUUUUGUCUAUUGCUGGAAGUAAUUUCUACCACAGACUGUUCUGCCCUGCUUUACAAUACCUACAGUACUAUUUUAAGGACAUUACUUUAAGGCAUCUAUUAGUGGAAAGGUUUGAUCUUAAAACCAAAAAAAGUUUAUUAGUAGAUAAGAACUUCUUAGGUAUUACCAACCCCUGAUACUGGUUCAGAUGCUUUGAACAGAUUUUUAGACACACUGUUGAUUUGAUGAGAAAUGUGAAACAUGUCAAUGCAGGCUUCCUACUCUUUUCAUUUUAACUUGAUUAAUUUUGAUCUAUUAUAGACCUCUACUUGUAAUCUUUUUAUGAAACUGAGGCUUCUGGUGUCUUUAUAUUGUCAUCAACAGCAGAAGUGAAUUGCUCUGUCCUGUGGUGGGGGAGAUUGAUGACAGAGAUCUCUGAUGUUUCAGAGUAAAGCCUUUGUAAUUAAGAGCCAGUGUGAGGCUGAGGAGAUCCCUGUCCUUGCCCAGUCUCUGUGCUGUCUCAGGGGUUUAGGUAGUUCCUAGAAUUUGUCUGUACCUCAGUUUCCAUUUGUGAAACAGAAAUGCUCUCAGCAGACUGUCUGCCUGUUUGUCAGAAAGUGUUACUGUCACAGCUUUGGAAGAGAGGUCAGACUUGUGCUGAGGCUGGUAAGCACAGGGAGGACUGGCAGCAAGAUCCUAGAAAGGCAGGGAGGAUCAGAAGCCAGAAAUGGUGCUGAAGUGAGGGUGACAGGCAGGAUUGCCUCCAUCCGUGUGCCUGUUCUUAGGUCACAGCAGAUGUCACUUCAGUCCUGCUUCACCCACUCAUAAGGGAAAAAGGGACAAAGCCAGGAGGCUCUUCCUCAACUUCCAUGGCUUCCUUUCUGGACAGAUACUUGAUAAACCAUCAAAAGUUAAUGAUCAAAAAGCUUAUCAGGGUAUUUUCAUCUAUAAAUUUAUAAGACAAAAGAGAAAUAAUAAAGCCAUUGGAUAAUUAGUAACUAGCCAGGGCCCGCCCGGUGCCACUGGGCUCAAACUGCCCCAAGACCUGUACGCAGACUCAGGAAGAUGAGAAGGAGACAAGGAUGAGGGGAAGAACAAGAGUGGGAGGCAGAGAGGAUCAGCCAAGGAGACAACAAAAUGGAUGGAAUAGCAGCAGAAACAAUAGUGAGGAGAGAAGAGAAAUAGGUAAAAACAAUCUGAAAGGUGUAAAGGAAGUAGAGAAAACUUAAAGAUGUGGAAGAGCUGGAAGUGCAGAAGAAAUGAGGCAUACUGGGCCAGGAAGAAGAGAGAAUUACUGGGAAUGUGUUCCCACCCAGGUCUGGUCUGUGCCCAGAGCACCACGUCCCCUCCCUGCAGGGCGUUAACAAAGCUCUCAUGGAUACUGACGACUUCGUGUGGCUAAAAACGAAUGAGAAUUCCGAGUCCAUGUAAACACAUUUAUUUGAAGAAAUGUUCAUGUGAACAUUAAUGUCAAGACAAAUUCAGCUUCUAUCGAUUUUUUUGGGUCAUACCCUUAAUAAAGAGUUGUGCUGGUUUUGCACC